GGUAUUGAGACAGUGUGUGGGAGCUGAGCUCUGUGGCGUGCAGAGAGAGAGGAUGGUCUCCUACAGCUCUAUUGAUUUUCUCUCUGUCUCUGCUCCACAGCGUCCCUCACUUCUCACUUCUUCUCUCUUCUGCUUCGCCUCUGAGAGAGCGGUUCUCUAACAAAGAUCUCAGCGGCCGCCGGCCAACUCUGACCCUUCACCAUCAUGGCACUCCAUUGGCUCUCCGUUGUGCCGCUGAAAGAACCCUCCGCGUCCAGACACUGACAUUUGAUUCUGCAGAAAUUACUGAGAAUGCUACAAUUGAUAACCGUGAGUCAAGACCUGCAAGACGUGUGACAGACAAACUGGCAGCCAUAAGAAAGGUCUGGGAGAAGUGGGUGGAGCAUCUACCAUACCUCUACAACCCUGGGCCUGAAGUAACAGUGGAUGAGCAACUGGUUCCAUUCAGAGGUAGCUGUCCUUUCUGGCAGGAUAUGCCCAGCAAGCCAGCAAAAUAUGGCAUCAUGAUAUGGGUUUGCUGUGACGCACAAUUCCGCUAUGCUUGGAAGAUGCAAGUCUUCACAGGGAAACCGACCAGUGGAGGCCCGGAGAAGAUGUGAGAGAUGGACUGAGGGGGCACAAUGUCACGUGACAAUUUCUUCACCUCUUAUGAACUCAGCCAGCGGCUCCCGAAGAGGAAGAUUACCAUGGUUGGCACAGUUAGAAAGAACAAGCCUGAGCUCCUCCCUGCAAUCCUCGCAACAAGGGGGAGAGAGGCCUUCUCAUCAAAGUUUGCCUUCACCCCCACCACCACUCUAGUUUCUUACCUCCCUAAGAGGACCAAUAAUGUGGUCCUCCUGAGCACACUGCACAAAACGGCUGAGAUCAGUGAUCGCGAGGACAGGAACCACAACAAACCACAGCUGCAAACAGCUGGAGGCAGGGCUUUCUCCUAUAGAGCUCCAUUUUUAUGGAAUGGUCUGCCUAUCCAUGUGAGAGACGCAAACUCGGUCUCAACCUUUAAGUCUUUA